AUUGAACGCUGGCGGCGUGCUUAACACAUGCAAGUCGAGCGGCAGCGCGGGAGCAAUCCUGGCGGCGAGCGGCGAACGGGUGAGUAAUGCUUCGGAAUCUGCCCUUCAGUGGGGAAUAACCAGUCGAAAGACUGGCUAAUACCGCAUACGAACUGAGGUUGAAAGCAGGGGAUCGCAAGACCUUGCGCUGAUGGAUGAGCCGAAGUCGGAUUAGCUUGUUGGUGGGGUAAUGGCCUACCAAGGCGACGAUCCGUAGCUGGUCUGAGAGGACGACCAGCCACACUGGGACUGAGACACGGCCCAGACUCCUACGGGAGGCAGCAGUGGGGAAUAUUGGACAAGUGGGGGCAACCCUGAUCCAGCGACGCCGCGUGUGUGAAGAAGGCCUGCGGGUUGUAAAGCACGUUUUAGUGGGGAGGAAGGUCUGCGACCUAACACGUCGUGGAAUUGACUUAACCACAGAAAAAGCACCGGCUAACUCUGUGCC
rnacentral:rRNA from 1 species